rnacentral:lncRNA from 1 species
GCCUUAGCGUCCCCAUAUGUGAUCUGAUAUUCCCUUUUUAGCCCUUUGGUGAAACAUAGAGUGCACCUCUCAGGCCAGGACAUGCUGGGAGACUAAAGGUCUCUGCGCCAGCGACACCAAGCGAUCGGCUCUCGCGUUUCCCUUCCCCAAGCCUACCUCCCAUUUAUGACCUCAAACAUGUAUUGCUGCAUAGGAGUGCUCCCUAAUUCUGAUUGCUCUCUGCAACUGCACGAACAGCUCGUACAGCCGCCGAUUCUGCACUUCCUUUAUGUAGGCCUCCUCUAUUCGGCGGCAUACUCCAGCUACGUCAAGGCAGUCGGUGACACAUUAAGGGGGUUGAUUAAGUCCAUCAUGGCGCAUACAAUGGCCACCAGCUCCAAUGUUUGCAAUGAGCCCUUAUCAUCGGCUGCAAUGAGGUGAUGUCCCCAGCAUCCUGUAGCUCCGGGCUAUGCUGCACAUACCACGUCAGAGUGUCCUUCUGCAUUGGCAGCUGUACACACACAGGCUCCAUACCUGUGAUCUGCAGGAUUGUGCCAACGCUCCUAAAAGGCUGGGCCGGGUCAGUGCCCCGUAACAAAGGUCGCAACGACUCUAAGGGUUCGUUUGGGAUGCCCACCACAGGGCGCAGCCACUGCCUCCCCUGGGUUCUCAGCCUCCCACAGUCCCUGACAGGACCCCCAUCACCUUCCCAGGAUCCCCAUAGCCCACCAAGGAGGAACCCCACAGCAAUCCACAUCUCAGGAUGGGGCUCCAGCUGUGCCCCGAUGCGUUCAUUCAAGAGAGGAGAAUGAAUGAGCGUAACGGGGGCACCUUUCCUCCUGACAUUGCCCACCGCCUGCGUGUUGGCU